AUGAUGGAGGUGGAGUUUGAUUCUGGGUUUGGUACAGUCUCCGGGAGAUUUUGUGGGUUGCAAGGUUAACAAAAUGAUUGUAGGGCCCCUGAGGUGUGGCUUGCUGGUAAAGGAGUUGUGGUGGGUGAGAUCCAGCGAUUUCGUGUAAGAGGAAGUUAUUGUCGAAAAAAUAAAGUACUAGCAGGAAAGAUUCAAAUUUGGUGUUCUAAUUAAGUCGGUGCAUACAUGUCUACAGGAGUUAAAUCUAGAUUUGAUUCAUGAAUGAACCUAUAUUAGAACAAUCUGGGGAAUUUAUUGGAGAGAUAGUCUAUUGUCAUGUUUGCCAUCUUGUUCCAUAUGUGAAGAGCAGUGGGGGUAGAUUUGGAGUCACAGGAAAUUGGCUCUUGAAAAUGUCUGAGAAAGAAUUACUUGUAAAUUGCCUGCAAAGACCCACAACAUAUCAGCAUGCUCUUGCUGAUCUUCUGUUGCAUGCCCCAAGUUUAUUAAUUAUGGAAUCUGAAGUAUGUUGUCAUAAAUGUUCUUUACUCAGUUGUUAUUGGAUGCUAAAGAUGUAUCUUAUGCUAGAAUUAGAUGCUAAAGCAAUUGUUUUGGUAGAGGCAGCAUUUCCCUGUUGGAGGUGAUCAGGAAGCUUCAUUAUCACAAUUCUUAUGCUUAUGACAGUUGGCUCUAGUUCAGAUAGAACAGAAAAAUAGAUGAACAAAUAAAUAAAAGGAAGAGGGGGAAAAAGAAUUACUUAGCUGUAAAAAGUGUCUUGACUCAUAUGUCAAGACAUGAUUAAAUAAACUAGUUUAUAUGGAUUUUCUUCGUAGCUUUACACCUUCUUCCGCUAGAGGCAAAGUGUGCAGGUUGAAGAAUGCUGUGUAUAUUUAACCAAAAAAAAAGGGAGAAGGAUUUCUGGAUUAAGACAAUUACCUAGGUCAUGUUUUGAGAGAUUUCAGAAAGUGUUAGUGCAAUUAAAAACAGGCAGAUGAGACUUUACAUUAAGCAUGUUUAAGGCAUAGUUUUAUCACUUAUUUUCUAUCCUGGUGAUAUUGUGAUGGCUGGGGAUGCUCCUGAGGAGAUCCACAGGCUGAAGUCUGGUGUAGCCAAAGAGCCUCUGAUAAAAUAGUUGGGAAACCUGAAGUACUUCCUUGCUAUCGAGUUACCCAGAGUGUCAAACUGAAAAGUCUAUCUUCAUUUGUUGAAGGCAGAAUAUUUUGAUUUUCUUUAUGAGACAUGAAUGUUAGGUUACGGUCCUACUGAUACUCCUAUUGAGGCAACCACAGGUGAGGAGAGGAUAGUGGGAGUGCUCUGUUGGAUGCUGUGAGACGCUAAUUGUUAGUAUGGAAGCAAUUGGUUGUCUUAUGUUAGGCUGUCAUUGCCUAUGCUGUGAGGUGUUAUGGGUUUAUUCAUGCACCUUACACCUUAAUCUUCCCUCUAGAAAUCAAUCUUCAGGAUUCUUUGAUCCCUGUCAUCUGUCACUGGAAGAGUUGUAUUUGGGAAACAAGGUUACCUGGGGUAGAGUAGCUUAUUGAUUCAGAUUAGGUAAGUUCAGUUGAUGAGAAUCUCGGUAUUGCUCAUUCUGUCAUAAUAAAGGAACUCUGUUGUUAUGAACCACUAUAAAAAAAAGUGAUUAGGGAGAAUAAGAAUCACAAUCAUAAGGCACAUAAAAUCUAUGUGGUUCAGAGUAUAACCUAUGUCCAUGGGUAAAGGUGGCAAGAAACUUUAAUUAUCGUGGAAAGAGAUUACAUCCUAGAGCUCUUUAUUUCCAAAGCCCCAAUUACAUUGGAAUACCCUCUUUCUGUAAAAAUUUCUCUUCCUCUGACUGUAUUCCCCCAUGACAUGUAUAUCUCUCUCUCUAUAUACAUAAGAAAACCUCCUUUUUAAGAAUCUCUUUGAGCCCCUUUAAAAAGAGACACUUUUCUGAUGCAUUUGCAGGAGGAAAACUUGUGACAAACAGUUUGUUGUUGCCAGAUCCAAUCUAGAAGCUGAAUCUGGGGUGUUGGGUGACUGAGUUUUUGAGCUCCUUCGAUUAAGAAUCAGUAUGGGGGAGUUGGGUUUUGAGUUUUUGAUAAUAAUGUAGCUAUUAUACUGUGUAAUCUAUUGUGUUGUGACUGAUUAAUAGAGUGUGAUAAAUUUAACCUAAUGUGGGCUGAUAAGCAUUUCAUCAAGGAGAAACUGAGCAUGGCUGAUUUUUUACUUGAUGCAUUCCAAUGGGAAAACUACUAAAUAUUUUGAAGCAAGGAGUUUGCAAAUCGUAAUGCCACCCCUUUAAGUCGGUGCAUAAAUAUCACAAAUCAAACUUAUUUAGAAUAGUACGAGUUACACACACUCGUAUGUUUCUAUUAAUCAGAAUUGUCGUGAGAAUAUUCAUAAUAAUAGCUUGUAUUAAGGUUCUUUUUUCAUAUCACAUUAUGGACUCUUUUAUUAUCAUUGGUUAGUUAGUGAGAGGAGGUGGGACUCUUUCAGAUAUGCUCACCAAAUGAAGGUGAUGAUAGUUUGUUAGAUUAGAAGAGGAGAUGGGAUUGGUGUUUAUAUCAAUAAGCAACAAAGCAUGUCACUUAGUGAAGAGGGGAGUCUUGGUUGGUAUUGCCUUUAAGGGCCAUUUUUCCCUCUUUAGCAUUAAGGUUUUCUGUUUAUUUUUAUUUAUUUUUGGUAUGCUUUUUGUAUACUCAUAUUUUGGGGUUUUCCCACUUUUAGAAGGGUUACUCUUUUUAUCAUUCCAUAAUGUUGUUUAUUUUCUUAUAAAAGAAUUGGGUGAAUUAUUCUCCACUUCCUUGAGGUAUGCCCUAGUUAUACUAACUACUCCUCUAUUAUUUGAUUUUAGGGUGAGCUCCUAUUUUUGACUUUGUCGCCUAUGGUUCUUAAUGGGGAAUGAAAAGACAAAAAUCCCUUUAAAUGAGCACCUGAGUACGAUAUUUGACCAUAUUUCUCUACUAAAUCAUAACUUACUUUUUCCUUUUCUCCCCAAAAUCAUAAACCCAAAUCAUCCAUUGUGAAUCUGAAAACCCUAAAUCCCUUAAAACCCUUAGCUAAUCAACUAUUCCAAGUAAAACAAUUUAACCUAAAAAUUUUCCUUCAGUUUUUUUUAAUAUUAUUUUAAAAAUAUUUUUAUUUAUGGAGAGACGAUAGUUUAAUUUGAAGUACUUUAAAAAAGAGAGAAAGAAAACAUUGUUGACCAUGAACCUAUUCAAUUCUGGGUUGUUGCACAACUAGAUCUACCCGUAGUAAGUGUUAAUUUGAUUGCUUGACAUAGGGCUUGGUUGAGGAUUAAAUUAUGAGAUUAAGGGCCUAAUUUGGAGCUUCAUCGAGGAUUGAUUUAAAGCUAGUUUGGUUGCUUCAUACAGGGUUAAUUUUGGAUUACAUUCUGAUAUUAGGAUCUUGAUUUGGGUUGUGGCUUAAGGAGGGUGAUAAAAACACCAAGUGUUUUCAUAGUAUGGCUAAUCCCUAUCAUAGAAGGAAACACAUUGGAGAAGGUUAAGGAUGGAUUGUAUUUGGUUUUGAAGGCAAUUGUUUUUGAAAUGAUAAUUGGAAGUCAAAUAUAGGUGGAGUUGCUUUCAAAUCUUUAGAUAGGGCUGAUUUGGAUGGUUUGGAGGGCCCUUUUCUGAAGAGGAAGUUCUUGCAAUUGUUUUUGGGCUAGAGGGUGAAUUAGGCUUUUGGGACAGAUUGAUUCUUUUUGGCAUUUUGGCAAAAUUGUUGGAAAUUUAGUCAAGGGUGAGGUGAUAAGCCUUUUAGGGAGUUUCAUGGGACAUGUAAUUUUGAGAAGUUUAGUUGCUACAUUUUUAUGUUUGUUGGGGAAAGGGAAGAUUUAGGAGAUUUUAAACCUACUAUUUUGAUUGGAAGUCUAUACAAGCUGAUAGUGAAAGUGUUGAUAAAUAGGUUGAAGAAAGUAUGGAAAAGGCGGUUUUUAGCUUCCAAAAUGACUUUGAGGAGGGGACAAAAUUUUAGAUAUGGUUUUUAUUGCUAAUGAGUAAUGAGGUCAUUGAUUCUAGAUUGAGAAUUUGUGAGAGAGUGGGGGAUGGUGAAGCUAUUGAUUUUAGAUUAAGAAUUCAUGCUAGGAUUUUCUUGACAAUGGUUACUAGUGGGAGAGCUAAGUUUUGGAAUGAUGUGUAGCAUGGAGACUCUUAGAUGUGUGUCUCUUUCACUUCUUUAUUUAGCAUUUCUAUGUCUUAAGGAGGCUUAGGUUGUUGAGUUUGGGAGGAGCCAAGCGUUCUAUGUAUUGAAGCCUUUGGCAUCUUUUACUCUCUUUCUCUCUCUUUUGGUCCUUUCUUGGGUGCUUCCUCAGUUUGUCAAAGAAGAACAAUUGAACGACAUGGUAGGUUCAUUGAGAAGAAGUGUAAGAUGACAUUUUGUGCUUGUUCUAGAUCAUUUGGUAGUAGCAAAAUUGAAAUAUAUUUGAAGACUUGAUUCAAUCUUUAAAAUGGAUUUUUUUUAGUUAUCUCUCUCUCAUUUUGUCACUGUGGACCCGCAUUUUUCACCUGCGUUCCCACUUUGUGAGAAACACGGGUCCACAAUCAUUUUUAUUUUUUAUUUUUUUAGUUUAUAUAUUUUUUCUCUAGAAAGUCUUUUGAUGUGAGUUCUUGGUCUUUGAUGGACUUCAUUGGUUGUUUAAGUCUAAGUUAGUGUGUUGUACAAUGUUUUUUUUUUCUCCUUUGCAGAUGUUCUUUCUGUGCAUCUUGUAUACUUGGGCUAUGCCCCUUCUUUUGUUAGGCACUUGUUUAGUAAACUCUUAUUUGUCUAUUAAAUAUAAGGGUUAAUUUAGGGCUGACAUGGUUCGAUAAAGAUAAGUUGGGUAUUUUAAAUUUUUUUUAUUUGAUUUCAUCUUUGAUAUUACUUUCCAUCCAUUAGUUAACAAGUGGAUGGCAAGAGAUGGUCAUGUAGUCAAACCCUAUGAGCUUGAUUUUCUGAAAUGAGAGAGAAGCUUCAUUGAUUUGUAUCUCAGGCGAGGGGCUGUAAUUUACCCAAAAAGGAGAAAAAAAUAUAUGAGUUCCAUUGCAUUUCUUCACUAAAUGCUUGGCGGUCAUUUUGAUUAGUUAUUUUUUUUAUGAGCUGAUGAUUUUGUUUUGAUUGUUGUUCAAUGUUUGAUUGGCAUUAUUUCAUUUGCAGAUAUUUGGCCCUCUAAUGGAUGGGUUUUUGAAGUUGGG
rnacentral:lncRNA from 1 species